rnacentral:rRNA from 1 species
GAUGAACGCUGGCGGCGUGCCUAAUACAUGCAAGUCGAGCGAACGGACGAGAAGCUUGCUUCUCUGAUGUUAGCGGCGGACGGGGGAGUAACACGUGGAUAACCUACCUAUAAGACUGGGAUAACUUCGGGAAACCGGAGCUAAUACCGGAUGAUAUUUUGAACCGCAUGGUUCAAAAGUGAAAGACGGUCUUGCUGUCACUUAUAGAUGGAUCCGCGCUGCAUUAGCUAGUUGGUAAGGUAACGGCUUACCAAGGCAACGAUGCAUAGCCGACCUGAGAGGGUGAUCGGCCACACUGGAACUGGGACACGGUCCAGACUCCUACGGGAGGCAGCAGUAGGGAAUCUUCCGCAAUGGGCGAAAGCCUGACGGAGCAACACCGCGUGAGUGAUGAAGGUCUUCGGAUCGUAAAACUCUGUUAUUAGGGAAGAACAUAUGUGUAAGUAAAUGUGCACAUCUUGACGGUACCUAAUCAGAAAGCCACGGCUAACUACGUG